ACUUUACCUGAAACAUUACCAGGAGAAUAGAAAUAUCAACAUGUUCCGAGUUUGUCACAGAACCUGAAAGUGUCUCAUAAAUAUGUAAAUAUUUACAUCAGAAUAUUUAAAAUUAAGAUUUAGUUAACGUGUUUGGAUGAGCUGAAGUGAGGAGGAAACAUAUUGUCAAAAUACAUUUUAUUUAUAUUGUGCCCCAACACGUGGUCUCAGCCAGGGAAACCUUCUGUCCUGUUCUCCUUUAGAACCUGAAAAUUAGCAAAACAAAACUAUUUGGUAAUUAUAUUAAUCAUAAUAAUUAUGAUAUGAUAAUAAUUUCAAUCAACUGGCUGUUUAUUAUUAGUACGAGGUGAGAAAAACAGAAAUCAGCCCAGUCUCUUAGUUUGAUACCUUAAAGAACUGGAAUCUUCUCACUUCUCCCAGAACAUGUCCAUGAUACCUGUAGAACCAGAACUUUAUAGAACCAGAAUCAUAUCACUGAUCCCAGCAGAACAUGUCAGUGGUACCUUACAGAACACAUUAAAGAACCGCUGAGCAUUGAGAAUCUUUAUUUUUUUCACAGUUGAUAUUUUUUAUGUUCUAAUGUUCCAUGCAAAAACAAAGAACCAGACUUCCAUGUUCCUGUGUCUCCAUGGAAACUAUCAGUCUAUGGCUUCUGAACAUGCCUCUAACAGUCACAUGACUCCUGAGGAACUGCUGCGGUUGGCUGGCAGCUGGAGGUCACGUGGCCUCUUGUCUCCUUUUCCCAGAGUCCUUUGCUGUGUGGCCCUGCUCCCACUUGAGGGGUCAUUUUACUGUUUUAUCGUCAAGGGCGGAGCCUCCUUCCUCACGGUGACCUCAUUGUGACGCUGUUUCAUCAUCGCUGAGAUGUCAUCAUGCAGCAUGCAGCAUCAUGGGACUUUUUUGUUAGACUCUGCUCGCCAACAACACGUCCUGCCUCUGCCUCCCGCCCCUCCCGUCCCGCACCAUUACUAUGGUGAUACAGUCGAUCACGCCUCCUGAUGCUAAGACUUGCUGCCCUCUGUCUCCUUAUUGGUCAGUGGGGCCAAGGCAGGGUCCACCAAUGAGGUGGCAGGAAACAGUUUAAACCAGCCAAUCACCAUGUUGGACAGGUCCAGGUCGUCCAAUAGGAUCUGUGCGCAGCCCAUGAAGGAUUUAUGAUCCAUGCGACCGUAGUCGCCCCACACGAUGAUCUGCAGAGAGAAAAAGGGUCAGUUCAGAUUAUAUUUCUAUGUACAGGACCGCCGACAUGUUUGUGCAUCUCGAGAGAAAAGGUUGCCGACCCCUGACUGAGAACUACAGAUGAAGACAUCCACUGUGCCAGCAGUGUUUGUUAAUGUCAUUGCACUGAUAGUUUAAACUAUUGAUUGAAGUUUAAUUGUUAAUAAUAAACACAUAAUAAUUAGGGCUGUCAAGCGUUUAAAAAAUGAAUCCAAUUAAUUACAAGUUUUGUAACUUGUAAUUAAUUCAUUGAAAUAAAUCACAUUGAUUUCGUGAUAAGCAUUUAAAAUAUUUAAAUUUAAAUAGAUUUUGGUAGAUGAGUGCCUCAAUGACAAAAACCAACUUAUUUAGCUGAACAUCUUUUAUUUCCCACAAAUUCAUAACCUUUUUUUCACUGUUCAUAUCCAAUAACAGGACAAUUUUUAUAAAAAAUCCUGAAAGUGUUUCUCUGGUGUUGAAACUUCAGGAGAAUGCCUGCCUGCUGGGUUUGAAUAAACAAGUCACCGCUGCUGAUCCAGAUCAGGCUGAGCUGGAACCCUGAAGGCCCAGCGUCAGCUGCCAACAUGUGGCGAGUGUCCGAUGGACAGAGGGACACAGAAAGACAGAGAAGAAGAAGGAGGUGUGAGUACCAGCCCUGAACAUCUGCAGUCCUUCAUCAAGAAACGGACGGAGCGCGCCGCUGAUGACCUUUAACACACCUCACCUUGAAGCUGUCUGCAGUAAUGAACCGAAAGGCACUGUGGGAAAUAGAGUCCACCGGUUUGAUGGAUGUCCCCAUACUUGAGUGCACAUCACAGCGUGCACUCGAGAUGAAAAUGUAUUUGGCUUUAGUCAAAUGUUCACUGGUUCAUCCUGAGAGAAGCUCACCAUGGGGUGAUAUUUCUGCAGAGGACAUCUAGAGGACAACAGCAACUAGAAAGAUGGCAGAUUGAAAGAUGGCCAACUAAAAGUGGCUUACAUCCACAGCACCUGAUAAAGUUACUUUAGCUUUUUAAAAUGGCUCCAGAAAUCACCUGAUAACUUUACUGAAACCAAACGUUACUUCAAACAGAUAAAUUAACAUCUGGGAGAUAUUAUUGGCUGGUGGAGUAAAGUGUUGGACCAAUCAGGAGCAACAGUGUGUGGUUCUAGCUGCUUCUGCUUGUUCUAGUUGCUGCUUCUAAAUAAAUGUAAAUGUAAAUUCUC